GAAAUAGAUACCGGGUAGUCCACGCCGUAAACGAUGAAUGCUAGGUGUUAAGGGGUUUCGAUACCCUUGGGUGCCGGAAGUUAACACAUUAAGCAUUCCGCCUGGGGAGUACGGCCGCAAGGCUGAAACUCAAAGGAAUUGACGGGGGACCCGCACAAGCAGUGGAGUAUGUGGUUUAAUUCGAAGCAACGCGAAGAACCUUACCAGGUCUUGACAUCCCCCUGACCGGUGCAGAGAUGUACCUUUCCUUCGGGACAGGGGAGACAGGUGGUGCAUGGUUGUCGUCAGCUCGUGUCGUGAGAUGUUGGGUUAAGUCCCGCAACGAGCGCAACCCUUGACUUUAGUUGCCAGCAGGUCAGGCUGGGCACUCUAGAGUGACUGCCGGUGACAAACCGGAGGAAGGUGGGGAUGACGUCAAAUCAUCAUGCCCCUUAUGACCUGGGCUACACACGUACUACAAUGGCCGGUACAACGGGAAGCGAAGGAGCGAUCUGGAGCGAAUCCUUGAAAGCCGGUCUCAGUUCGGAUUGCAGGCUGCAACUCG
rnacentral:rRNA from 1 species